rnacentral:rRNA from 1 species
CGUGUAGGCGGCGCGGUAAGUUGGGCGUGAAAUCCCCGAGCUUAACUCGGGUGGGCCGUUCAAGACUGCCGUGCUAGGGUGCGGGAGAGGGAAGUGGAAUUUCCGGUGUAGCGGUGGAAUGCGUAGAUAUCGGGAGGAACACCUGCGGCGAAGGCGGCUUCCUGGACCGUAACCGACGCUGAGGCGCGAAAGCUAGGGGAGCAAACAGGAUUAGAUACCCUGGUGGUCCUAGCCCUAAACGAUGAGCACUGGGUGUGGCCCUCACGGGGCCGUGCCGAAGCUAACGCAUUAAGUGCUCCGCCUGGGGAGUACGGUCGCAAGGCUGAA